rnacentral:tRNA from 1 species
GCCUGGGUGGCUCAGUCGGUUAAGCGACUGACUUUGGCUCAGGUCAUGAUCUCUCAGCUUGUGGGUUUGAACCCCACAACAGGCU